rnacentral:tRNA from 1 species
AUUUAAAUAGUUUAUGUAAAAUAUUGAUUUGUGGUGUCAAAGAUACUUAUUUAGUUUUAAAUA